ensembl:lncRNA
CUCCCACGCCCCAGCGGCCUCAUUUCCACGGAAGAAGCACAAUGCACUCUGAGCUCUAAAUAAAACCCUUUCACAGUUGCCCUGAAGUUAUUUUCUAGGCUUCCAUCCCUCCCCCUCUGCCCCCCCUCGGGUAUGUGGUGCUCUCCCGGCGGCUGACCUUCGCACCCAGCACUCAGGACCCGGUUGUUGUCCUUUGGAGGGGCCGCGGCAGACGGGGGCGGGCGGUUGGCAAACAGGACAUUGGCCUCCAGCACUUGGCGAUAAACGCGGCGGCACUGAUGGUGUCUUAGGGCAGUGCUCGGCACGGCGCUGGCACUGCUUUGUCCCGCUCCCGUCGACCGUACCCAGAGCUCUGCUCCCCCCGAGCCUGCCCACGGCCGGGCACUGCGCGGGGCCACGUGUGUAGGGCGAGGUGUGAGCCCGGCUGCCGGACAUGGGCAGCAGUGCGCCUCGAGCAGCGCGUGCCGCUGGGAGUGAGCGUGCGGGUUGGAGCUCCGUGAGUCACCGGUGGGCGCGUUGGGCAAUCUUCUGUUUCCCAAUCUGUUUCCCUUCGCAGGAAUCCAGCCCUCGCUCUGCCUUCAGCACGGCCAAGCCCAGCCCCGCCGCCGCUCUGUGCACGCACGCUUCUCCCUGCCUGCAGACACGUUACGGCAGUGCCCCGGGCACACAGUCCUCCCCCGGCAGCACGGACAUCCGCGGCCGUGUGAGCCGUGCUGAGGUCUCCUGCUUUCCGAGGGGCACCGACUCACGGUGCCGACGGGCAGGACUCGAUGGAGAGCUGGCAGCUGGUUCAGGCGUGCUGUGACAGCCUCUCAGCAAUCAGACAGCACCACUCGCAGCUCGGUUUGAGAUGGGAACAGGAAGAAAUGUGUCAACACUUUCAUGUCUCUGCAUGUCGGAGCGGCGUGCCUGGCCAGGGCUGUGUGCUGCGGGCACACGUGUCACGGGCAGCACCAGGGCUGUGUGUGGGGCCGCGCUCUGCUGCGCAGGGCUAUGAGCCCGAGCCCCACAGCACUGCAGGGGCCCCUCGGCACCGCUGUGUGCAGACACUGCCGCAUCCCAGCAGGGCAGGCCAUGAUCUGACCCCCUGUGCAGGCUCUGUGAACAUGGCAGUGUGCCCCGAGGUCCCCACACACCGUGUGGCUGUGAUUAAAAACAGGCUGUGUGCAAACCAUGUGGGGCUUUGUGUUAAUUAAGUGUUGCCUCGUAAGGUGCGUGCUGGGAUACAGAGGUGCAGGAGUGGGGCUGAUGGCAAAAUGAGCUGCUGAUCAAAGAGCUGCUCAGUGCUGGGGGGCCGGGUUGGGGGGGCCCUCGCUGGGGUCCAGGUCCCCACUGCAGCCCCACAGUCAAAGCACGGAGCUACAGCCCCACACCGAGCAGCCCUGCUCUGUUCCUCAGCCCCGUCCCUGCAGCACCGCCGCUGCUAACACGGCUCUCUUGUUAAGUCGGGACAGUUCUGGAGAUGAGGCACACGAGGCAGUACUCAGCUCUGUGUGCUGGGGCUGCCAGGCGCUGCUGGCUUUGCCCACAGCCCCGGUUCGUGUCCGUGAUGGGAUAUCCAUACUUUCUUCCCUAUGCACGGGAGCGUUUUACAGAGAAAUGCUGUCAGCAUUCUGAGGGGCUGCUGCAUUCCAGCAUCUCAGUUUUAACACCACUCAGUGUGAAAACAUGAACAUUUUGACUCCAACUACGGAAUGACAAAUGUGAGCGCCAGACAUCUGCCACUCAUUUCAGAAUGUCACCAUUCCCCACAGCGCAGCAGUGCUGGCACGGGGCUGCGUGGGGCCCCAGGGCGGUGCUGCUCCUUUGCCCCAUCCCUGCCCGCAGUGGGGAAUCCCAGCAGGAAAUGGCCAUUCACACUGCAGUGUGUGUGCCCGGGUCAGCAGCUCGGCUCACCCAGCAGCCACAGUGCUGUUUGCAGAGCUCUUCGUGCACAACAGCUGCGUCUGCUGAGCAGCAAACUGCGUGGGAAAGAACUUCGAUAAAUAAAAAGUUAUUAAAUGUAAACAAAGGCUGUGCAGGAACGGCUGAAGGUUCAAAAGUUGUGACCGUCAUGGACAACUUUUGUCAUCCCUUGGGAACCAACUGGGACUUCUCAAGAGUAAGAAUUGCUUUCCUUCCCUGCAGGCCCACCUGCGCUCACUUCCCUCUGGCUGCAGCCACGUGCAGACAGAGCUGUGCACACCUGGGAGCUGCACAGGGGCACGGGGCUGCCUGGAAGGACCUCCUCCUGCAGCACUCCUCCAUGUGGGAGAGGAGGAGGUGAGCAGCACUGCAGUGGUGUGGCAGCACCCAGCACGGCGUGCACUGCUGUCUGCUCUGCUCAUUGGAGUUGGUUCCUGCCGGCUGUGGUCAGGAUGGGGCCCACAUUGCCCUGCACCGCUGCAGGAAGGAGCUGGCAGCAGAGGCCCCAGCAUGGUUUGCAGGGAGGAAACCAAAGCAUGUGGCUGCGCAGCUCACAGCACAGCACAGGGCAACAUGCUUGAGCAGCAGGCUAAUAGCCACGGCCAGCAGCGUGCCCUCAGUGCAUGGAGGGCUGUCGCAUCCCUUCCCCUGCAUCACACUCCGCAUUUGCUCUGCAGUGAAGCAUGGGUUAGAAGGCUGAGCCACCCAAUGCAGGUCACUGCAGCAGUGUCAUGUGCCACAGGGAAUGCCACGACUGCUGCCCCGUCACUGCGCUCCGCAUCCUGCGCUGCUCUGCAAAAACGAGAGCCCCAGCACAGCCCCGGACCCACACAGCCCACUGCUCACCCCAAGGCUGUGUGUUCCCCAGUGGGACUGUGGCGUGGAAGAGCCCAUCUUU